GUAUUGUACUGCAUACGUCACAAUAGCUUUGUCGAUAGGCGACAGCUCUCGAUAUCUGUCGUAUAUAUAUGCAGUUGGUCAUACGUAUCAUCAAAUAGAGAGACAUCUUCUGAAUAUCCACUUACAUAAUAGCCAUCAAUGUGUAGCCUUCCAUUUUCAGAACCUAAAAUGGAUAUAAUUCAAUUAUAAUGCCUAUCCGUACAAUAAUCACUAAGGAGAUGUAUUUAUUAUGAUCCUGUAUUACAAUACAUACAGAUUAACUGCGAGAGUGACAUGGAUGCAACCGAGUUGUCUAAGGUUCUGUUAUCUAUGGAUUAUAACUAUUUCGAAAGAAUGCUGGAGAGAAUAGAAAAGAAAUGUAGAGAGACGCCAGAGAUUAUGGAUACCUGGAAUGCCUCACGUUUGAUGAUCUAUAAAGAAUGGAAUAAGGACAAAGGGAUAAUUCCAAAAUACAAUGAAGCCUGUUUAAAUUCAAUCUGGACAUAUCUGAUGCAAGAAUAAUAUGUCAAUAUUGGUGUGAUGUACGGG
rnacentral:lncRNA from 1 species